AAGAUUAAGCCAUGCAUGUCUCAGUACAAGCCAAAUUAAGGUGAAACCGCGAAAGGCUCAUUAAAUCAGUUAUGGUUCCUUAGAUCGUACACAGAUUUCCUUGGAUAACUGUGGUAAUUCUAGAGCUAAUACAUGCAAACAGAGCUCCAACCGGAGACGGAAGGAGCGCUUUUAUUAGAUCAAAACCAAUCGGUGGCGUUUUCGUCAUCGUACAAUUUGGUGACUCUGAAUAACUUUAAGCUGAUCGCACGGUCUAGCACCGGCGACGCAUCUUUCAAAUGUCUGCCUUAUCAACUGUCGAUGGUAGGUUCUGCGCCUACCAUGGUUGUAACGGGUAACGGGGAAUCAGGGUUCGAUUCCGGAGAGGGAGCCUGAGAAACGGCUACCACAUCCAAGGAAGGCAGCAGGCGCGCAAAUUACCCACUCCCGGCACGGGGAGGUAGUGACGAAAAAUAACGAUACGGGACUCAUCCGAGGCCCCGUAAUCGGAAUGAGUACACUCUAAAUCCUUUAACGAGGAUCAAUUGGAGGGCAAGUCUGGUGCCAGCAGCCGCGGUAAUUCCAGCUCCAAUAGCGUAUAUUAAAGUUGUUGCGGUUAAAAAGCUCGUAGUCGAAUCUGUGUAUCGCGCCGCCGGUUCAUCGUUCGCGGUGUUAACUGGCGUGUCGCGGUACGUCCUGCCGGUGGGCUUAGCUCGCAAGGGCGGCCCAACUCAAUCCCGCCGCGGUGCUCUUCAUUGAGUGUCGAGGUGGGCCGGCACGUUUACUUUGAACAAAUUAGAGUGCUUAAAGCAGGCUAAAAUUUUGCCUGAAUACUGUGUGCAUGGAAUAAUGGAAUAGGACCUCGGUUCUAUUUUGUUGGUUUUCGGAACCCCGAGGUAAUGAUUAAUAGGAACGGAUGGGGGCAUUCGUAUUGCGACGUUAGAGGUGAAAUUCUUGGAAUCGUCGCAAGACGG
rnacentral:rRNA from 1 species